UGGAGAAAAACAGGGUGAGACCAUAUCGAAAGGCAAGAAAGGAGACCUCUGUAAUCAGGGGACAGGAGUGGGUACCAGUCCUACCAACAUGAGCCAGUGGUUCCAGAACUGAAAAGGCCUGUGUGACGUCACAGACACAGAAACAGGACACACCGCUUUCCAGGAAGAGGGGCAGGGGCAGGGGGAGGCCGAAAUCCUGGUCGCCAUGCUUCUUUCUCACCUAGAAAUCUCUAAGCCAUAUGAACACCCAAUGGGGUAUAGCUCAGAACGCGCUCUUCUAACGACUUAAGUCACAGCUAGCCACAGCCAGGAGCCUCAAGAGCAGGACCCGAGCCACCGUGCCAGCACCCCACGCUCACUCCCAGGACAGCCUACAACUCCCUAUUCAAUUCACUUACACCCUUCGUUAGUCUGACUGUAAUUCUGACUUGACGCUUUGAAUUGCUCUGGAAUACUCUGAAAUGUCCAAGUAUUAGAGGCCAGUAAAUAAAGAGCAACGUGCACAGACUUCCUGGGGAGGGCAGGACAGGCGUGCUCGUCACCGCCUACCCACAGGGAGCUGCAGCCACCUGACCGGAGUCCCGUCAGCACUGCGUGCUGGGCAGGAGUCUUAUUUCCUGGGCAGGUUUGUUUUUUAAACUGAGGUAACUGGACAUAUAACUGGGCAGAUCUUGAUAACAGAUCACUGUAGGAUUUUUCUAGGCAAUCAAAAUUAAUAAAAAUAUUAUCUUGAGAUUACUGUACUAAUUGCAUCUCUUGCACAUACAAAAUCCCAAAUCCGAAUGGUAAAGUCGAGUACAACACUGGGCUUUGUAAUAAGAGGCUAUUAACAAAAUCCCCUUCCUUCCUGGCAUUUCCAACGAGGCAGGCAGCCCCCAGUUGUCUAUAUGAAGGCCUGCUCUCAAUUCCUCUUCUGAAUGGGACUUAGCCUCACAUGAACCCACGGUUCAGUAUCAAUAAAAAUGUACAAUUUUCUCUCCCAGCUUUCUUUUCAAAACUGCUUUGUGAAUCUAUUCUGCUCACGUGGGCUGAUUUGAGGUUGGUUGCCAAAAAGCCGUCACAAUGUCAACACCUGUCACACCAGUUCCCUCUUGUGCUUUAAAGGUUACGGAGCACGUGUGAGCAUCACCACAUCGAUUCUUUCAACAGUCACACGAGGUAAUCUUGUAUCCUCUCAAUAGUGAGGAAGCCAAGGGCCUUUCUCAGAGUCUGGCAGCUGAAUAUGAUGGAACCUGGCUGUACCGCGGGUCUUCUCGGCCGGCGAAGAACCUCCCUGUCCUCACGAGCAGUGAGAACAGGUCACCUUCGCGCACGGCCAACACCGACUGAUGCCGUGGGUUUGAUGGGGCUACGUUCACACUGGGUGCUCGUCAGCAUUGACAAUGGGGCACUGGCCCCUGUGACUCAAACGCCUGCCCAGGGAGAGUGAGAUGCCGCCUCUGGAGCAGGGGAGGCUUGGGGGUGUGAGAGGAUUGACGCUGCCCUGGCUUCUAACCGUAACAUCUCAGUGUCUGCGACAUCGUGUGGCACAGCUGAGGACCAACAUCACAAAAACACACUUGUCUGGAAGUAGCCCUCCCCUUUUGAGACUGUUUUUCAGAAGUAACAGUGGUUUUUAGGAUGGGCUAUUGCAAAAGUUUUCUAGGACAGCCUGUCAUUUGAUAUUUUAGCCACAAGGUGGCACUACGGCACCUCUGUUUGCUUGCCUGCCCCAUUCUACACACACACACACACACACACACACACACACACACAAAAAGCGCGCGCGCGCGUGCACAGGCAAUGUCGAUAGGGACCAUUCAAGUCCCAUCCCAGAGGUGAGCCAGGUACCCGUGUCCAUGUUCCCACUAGGACAGGCUCCGCUUGCUGGCAUCUUGUGCAGAGCACUUAGUUAAUGGCCCAUGGCACAGCCACCCAGAGCUGGCUGACUCCAGAUAAGAGCUGGAUAUAGGCCAUAAAUAUAUGUUAACAACCUCAUUCAUCCGCAGGAAAAUGCAAAUUGAAAAACCUCCAGAGCAGUUACCAUUGAGAUGACGCAGCGAUACCGCGGGUGCAGCCACGGGAACGUCCUCAGGACAGGAGUGAUGCGAACGCUUCGGAAAACCACUAAAGCUGGAGAGACCCUCAUACCUGUGAGCCCACAGUCCCACUCCGAUGUACAGACCCGGGAGGGAGGCCCACACGUUCACCAAAAAGCAGCACAGGAGUGUCCAUCACACAACCACAGCAGCCCCCAACAGGCGGCCACCCAACGCCCAUCAGCAACGAGAAGAAUAAACACAGCUGGGCGCUCGCACACAACGGAGCACUUCCAGCAACGAGAAGAAAUGGCGUCAGCGCCUCUGACAAUACAGUUCUCAUAAGAACACUCUAAUUUUCUGACUGAUACAAAUGAAAAUCAACCGGAAGCAGGCUCCUUGACUGCCAGGAUGUCCUUCAACAGCCACAACAGCCUGACUGUCCAACAACAGCCAAAGGAAGAAGCAACGGUCAGGAAGCAUCUAGCUGUGGGUUAGUACCAGGUGCACAACGCAGUGCCCCACAUCUCCAUCUCCCAUUCAACUGCCCUGAGAAAAGUCUGGGAAUGAGGGACACAGAGAGACUCGGGAUAAAAGCAAGGCACGUGCACACAUCAACAUGCACUCCAACUUGCUAAUUUAAAAAAGUUAUGUUCAUCUAUAUUUACAAAGACAUACAUUUUAUUUAAGAUAAAAGCCAAAAUUACUGAUUUAAAGGUGUUAUUCUGAAACUGGACUUUAUGGUAUCUCAGAGGCAGAGUAGGAUAACAUUUCAUUUUAAAUUGUGGUUCUUGGGUGAUGAAGAAGAAUAUCACAUUAGAGAAAGAAUAAGCAAGGAAGUUAGAAAUACUGCUUAUAGGUUUUUAAAUGUUUUAAAUGAUGUUAUAUGUGAAAAAUAUAAAUUCUGUAUUAGCUUCUGUGCUUUUUUGUAAUAACAAAAUAAGAUAGUACAUUGUAGAAAUUUUGGAAAAUACAGAAAAAGACAAAGAGGACAAUAAAUAGUGACCUAUAAACCAA